GUCGGGCAGAUGUGGGCUUAUCUCUUCUCCCCUCUUCAAAACACUUCUCCCCAUCAAAACACCUCCAAACCCUAGAUUUCUCCCACAGCCCGCACCUGGCUCCUCCCCCACCAUCUGAACCGCCGCCCUGCUCCUCCCCCACUAUCUCAACCGCCGACUGCUCCUUCUCCUCCGCCGCCGCCGAGACCUGCUCCUUCUCCUCCGCCGCCAAGCACAUAGUUAUUGACAGGAAAUCCCAAACAAUGCAUUGAACUUCUACGUAUGUCUCGUGAAUCAUUUUUCCGACUAUGUGCACAUUUUAGAGUAAAUUAUUCGUUAGAGGAUAGUAAACAUGUAUCGGUUGAGGAGAAGAUGGCUAUGUUUUUUAUGAUAAUCGGUCAUAAUCAACGAUAUGUAGUUAUCAAGCGAAGAUUUCAACACUCAAAGCAAACAAUUCAUAAAUAUUUUUAUGAAGUCUUGGAUAAAAUGAUGCUUUUUGCCAAAGAAAUGAUAGUACCAACUUCUUUCAAUCCUAAUCCAAACAUACCGGGACAUAACAAGAGACUACGGCGGGUUUUUAAAGGAGCGGUUGGUGCACUAGAUGGAACUUUAAUACAU